AAGGGCGCGCCUUCGCCGACACCAUAGAGGUGGGCCUUUGGCGGCGUCAGAGGCGCGGGUGUUCGGCUACGUCACUGGGGCGCUACGGUUCCUGGAGCUGGGCAGUCUUCUCGUCAGAGUGGGGACUGGUAAGAGCGACCUCCCCGCCAGGUCCUGUGUGUUGCCGGCUGAAGAAGGGAUGAUGAUUAUUCCCCACCUUCUAAGAGACAAAGACCAACGAGCCACCACAGCCACCAGUCCCAGAACCCGCCAAUGCUGGGGAAUGGAAAAUGAGGGAGUUCAACUCUGGCCCUCACAAUCCAGUGGAGGAGACGAAACUCAUCUGCCUCUGUCCCUCUGGGCACACCUCAUGCCAGGUGCAUCUGUGGACAGGGGCCAUGCUCCUGGGCUUCCAAAGUUGGAGAAAGCUGCCAGGCUCAGUGGGAUGAUGCAGCAAGAAGACCCUUACCGGAUGCAGGCCCCUCAACCUUGGACUUCCUAACAUCCAGAACUGUUAAGAAAUAAAAUUUAUUCCUUUCCUUUCCUUUUCUUCCUUCUUUCCCUUCUCCUCCCUUUUCUUCCCUUCCCCUCCCUCCCUCUCUCUCUCCCUCCCUCCCUCCUUCCCUCCCUUCCUCCUUCCCUCUUUCUCUCUUUCCCUUCCUUCCUUUCCUUCUUUUCCUUCCUUCCUUUCCUUCCCUCCUUCCCUUUUUCCCUCCUUUCCUCCUUCCUUCCUUUUUUCUUUCCUUCCUUUUUUCCUUUUUA
rnacentral:lncRNA from 1 species